GGGUUACUGUUAGGGCUAGACUGGGUUAGACUGGGUUACUGUUAGGGCUAGACUGGGUUACUGUUAGGGCUGGACCGGGUUAGACUGGGUUAGACUGGGUUAGACUGGGAUACUGUUAGGGCUGGACUGGGUUAGACUGGGUUACUGUUAGGGCUAGACUGGGUUAGACUGGGUUACUGUUAGGGUUAGACUGGGUUACUGUUAGGGCUGGACUGGGUUAGGCUGGGUUACUGUUAGGGCUGGACUGGGUUAGACUGGGUUACUGUUAGGGCUGGACUGGGUUAGACUGGGUUACUGUUAGGGUUAGACUGGGUUACUGUUAGGGCUGGACUGGGUUACUGUUAGGGCUAAACUGGGUUAGGCUGGGUUACUGUUAGGGCUGGACUGGGUUACUGUUAGGGCUGGACUGGGUAAGGCUGGGUUACUGUUAGGGCUGGACUGGGUUAUUGUUAGGGCUGGACUGGGUUAGGCUGGGUUACUGUUGGGGCUAGACUGGGUUAGACUGGGUUACUGUUAGGGCUAGACUGGGUUACUGUUAGGGCUGGACCGGGUUAGACUGGGUUACUGUUAGGGCUAGACUGGGUUAGGCUGGGUUACUGUUGGGGCUGGAUUGGGUUAGGCUGGGUUACUGUUAGGGCUAGACUGGGUUAGACUGGGUUACUGUUAGGGCUGGACUGGGUUAGACUGGGUUACUGUUAGGGCUGGACUGGGUUAGACUGGGUUACUGUUAGGACCGGACUGGGUUACUGUUAGGGCUAGACUGGGUUACUGUUAGGGCUAGACUGGGUUAGACUGGGUUACUGUUGGGGCUGGACUGGAUUAGACUGGGUUACUGUUAGGGUUAGACUGGGUUACUGUUAGGGCUGGACUGGGUUACUGUUAGGGCUGGACUGGGUUAGACUGGGUUACUCUGGGUUACUGUUAGGGCUGGACUGGGUUGCACUGGGUUACUGUUAGGGCUAGACUGGGUUAGACUGGGUUACUGUUAGGGCUGGACUGG
rnacentral:lncRNA from 1 species